GUGAACUUCCUCACAGUCUGCUAUAAAGACUUGAUAUCAUGCUGUCAGUUGCAGCAGAAGAAGAGAAGCUCCCAUCAGAUCACCUUCAAUAGCAACCAUGUUCUCUGUAGCUCUGCUGCUGCUGCUGGCUGCUGGAUCCUGUGUGAACAGUAUUGAUCUCAUCCAGACAGACUCAAUGGUUGUGCAGCCUGGACAGUCUCUGACCAUCAGCUGUCAGGUCUCUGGUUAUUCUUUGACUGAUAACAGCUAUGCAACAGGUUGGAUCAGACAGAGUGAAGGAAAACCAAUGGACUGGAUUUGCCAUCGGUGGGGUAGAGGAGACUUUUACCAAAAUAAUGUCCUGAAGAACAAGUUCCUUUACCACACACUCACGUCUACUAGCUCGGUGACAUUAACAGGACAGAAUCUGCAGCCUGAGGACACAGCUGUGUAUUACUGUUUGCAGCAGAAGAAGAGAAGCUCCCAUCAGAUCACGUUCAAUAGCAACCAUGUUCUCUGUAGCUCUGCUGCUGCUGCUGGCUGCUGGAUCCUGUGUGAAGUGUUAACAGUUGACCCAGCCAGCCUCUGUGACUGUGCAGCCAGGUCUACGUCUGACCAUCACCUGUCAGGUGUUGCAGGGUCAUGA